ensembl:lncRNA
CGGGACUACUUGAUUGACAAUCUGGUCUGGAAUGAUUGACAGGUCCUAUGGAGGAAGCAGCAGAGACUCUGCUCUCCUCGUUUGGAUUAAUUCUGAUAUAAUAACUGUUGGUUUAUUUAUCAGUGGAGCAGCACAACAUUUUCCACAGACAGUUUUCCUGCCCGUUGGCUUGUUUUAACCAGUUUUCUACCUUCGGCUGAUUCUACCAGCAGACACUGAAAGGACUCUGAUAGUUCGAGUGAAAGUAGCAAUUCCUCCUUAAGGUCAGAGAUUGCAGCAUCUGAGGGCCUCUUCAAAAGAAGACAUAGUUGAUGAAGGUGUUCUGGAGCAGGACCAGAAAGACCACGACCAAGCAGCCUUGAGAUCUUAGGCAGCAUCUCCCUCAGACAUCCACCAACCACUGGAACACAUCUCCAAAGUUCUGCUGGGCCAGCUCAGCUUCCCGUCAGAAGAAGUGCAGCCACCUGCCAGAUGAAGGAGCCUUUUGAGAGGCAGCUGGCAUCGUGAUUGGACUGUACUUUGGUCUGUUCCAAUCCAGCUUCAGUUCCAGAGACGGCAGGCGGGACGAGUCAACGGAGGCCGGGUGGACGAAGGCAUGAAGCUGAGUACAAUCCAGAAAACAACAGAGGAGGAGAGCAGCGGCCAGAACAAACAGAGUAGCAUGGUAUGUCUCUUAGAAAACAUCAUAGUAUAGCCUUUGGGAUGAAAAAACGCCAUCAUAUACAUCGUAUAUUGUACAAAUAACAAGUCAAAGGAAAGAGACAUACAUUGUAGAAUUGUAGUAAUUGUGGGCUGACUGAUUUACUGAUUAUCAGUAUUUUAUUUUUUACUGAUUUAUGGUAAUAAAUACAUUUAAAAAUGGUGCUUCUUUGUCUCUGAAC